rnacentral:lncRNA from 1 species
AACCCUAAACCCUAAACCCUAAAACCCAAACCCUAAACCCUAAACCCUCAACCCUAAACCCCAAACCCUAAACCCUAAACCCUAAACCCUAAACCCCAAACCCUAAACCCUAAGGAGAUUUGUCGUUCUAGAGAUGAUGGUUGAUAUCUUUAAUUUUUCAAAUUAUCUGUCGAUUUUUGUGUCCAAAUUUCCUGUACUAUUUCUGAUAAAAAAAAAUUUGGCGGGAACUUUUUUGUCGAAUUUUUUUUGGCAGAAAAUAUUUUGCGGGAAAUUUUGUCAAAACUUUAUGGCGGGAAAUUUUUUUCCGGGAAUUUUUGGAAAGGAAACCCUAAACCCUAAACCCUAAAACCCAAACACUAAACCCUAAACCCCAAACCCUAAACCCUAAAAAGCUUUGUCGUUCUAGAGCUUGUUGAUUUCUCUUUUUUUUUUAAUUAUAAAUCAAUUUUUUUGUCAAUAUUUCUUGUACUAUUUCUAUCAAAAACUAUUUGGGGGGAAAAUUUUGGUUGGAAUUUUUUUGGCGGAAAAUAUUUUGACGGGAAACUUUUGACAAUAACUUCUGGGCGAGAAACUUUUUGUCUGAAAAUUUUCAUGGUAAAAUAUUUUACGGGAUCUUUUUUGGAAGGAAAACCCUAAUCCCUAAACCAUAAACUCUAAACCUUAAACCCUAAACCCUAAACCAUAAACCCUAAAGAGCUUUGCCAUUUUCCCUUCUAUGGUGGUGUAAGGCGUGGUUGGAUCUAUCCUUCGAUGUAGAUGAUUUCUCUCUUUCACAACAACCUUAGAUGAUGUUCCUAGGAUCUGCUAGUUGAAGGCUAUGGCGGAUUUGGAUUGGAUUUCUCUAAGCUAAUUGGCUAGUUAGAUGUAGAUCUAUCUUGCGGCGGAAGAUGAGGUUCACCCCGGUGGGUUCACCACUUUGCGAACUGAUAACGGUUCAUUUGUGACGAGAUCCUUGAUGGCUAGUCACGGGGAUCCUUAACCGGAUUUUGAUGGUUAAUGGCUUGCUUGAGCUAGCGUCCAACCUCUACCGCCUUGAUUGGAAGGGAGGUUUCUUUGGAAGUAAAGGUAAGUGUAAUUCGUUGGAUUAGAGGGUUAGUUGCGUGGCUUCUUUUUGCUAGGUCAGGGAGAAGAAACUAUUAGAUCUCUGGUUGUGGCGGAUCUACCUUUCCCAAAAGGAAAGUUCCGGGUUGGGUUUGAUCGCAGUGACGGUUUGCGGUGGGGUUCGCGAGCUCCAGCCUAAGAAUUGAUGUCAUGUCCUAGUCCCAAACGAGUCGUCCUUGCUAGCUUCAGAUUUAGUUGGUGGUUUAUUUUUUAGAUGCAAAACCUUAAACCCUAUACCCUAAACCCUAUACCCCAAACCCUAAACCCUAAAUCCCAAACCCUAAACCCUAAGGAGAUUUGUCGUUCUAGAGAUGAUGGUUGAUAUCUUUAAUUUUUCAAAUUAUACGUCGAUUUUUGUGUCCAAAUUUCCUGUACUAUUUCUGUUAAAAAAAAUUUGACGGGAAAUUUUUUGUCGGAAUUUUUUUGGUGGAAAAUAUUUUGCGGGAAAUUUUGUCAAAACUUUUUGGCGGUUGUCAGAAAAUUUUGGCGGGAAAUUCUUUUUCGAGAAUUUUUGGAAAUAAAACCCUAAACCCUAAAACCCUAAACCCUAAACCCUAAACCCUAAACCCCAAACCCUAAAGAUUUUGUCGUUCUAGAGCUAUUUGUUGAUUUUUCUUUUUUUUUUUAAUUAUAAAUCAAUUUUUUUGUCAAUAUUUCUUUUACUAUUUCUGUCAAAAAAAUUUGGCGGGAAAUUUUUGUUGGAAUUUUUUUGGCGGAAAAUAUUAUAACGGGAAAUUUUUGACAAUAACUUUUUGUCAGAAAAUUUUCAAGGUAAAAUGUUUCACAGAAACUUUUUUGGAAGGAAAACCAUAAACCCUAAACCCCAAACCCUAAACCAUAAAUUCUAAACCACAAACCCCAAACCCUAAACCCUAAAGAGGUUUGCCAUUUUCUCUUCUAUGUUGGUGUAAGGCGUGGUUGGAUCUAUCCUUCGAUGUAGACGAUUUCUCUCUUUCACAACAACCUUAGAUGAUGUUCCUAGGAUCUGCUAGUUGAAGGCUAUGGCGGAUUUGGAUUGGAUUUCUCUUGGCUAAUUGGCUAGUUAGAUGUAGAUCUAUCUUGCGGCGGAAGCUGAGGUUCACCACGGUGGGUUCACCACUUUGCGAACUGAUAACGGUUCAUCUGUGACUAGAUCCUUGAUGGCUAGUCACGGGGAUCCUUAACCGGAUUUUGAUGGUUAAUGGCUUGCUUGAGCUAGCGUCCAACCUCCACCGCCUUGAUUGGAAGGGAGGUUUCUUUGGAAGUAAAGGUAAGUGUAAUUCGUUGGAUUAGAGGGUUAGUUGCGAGGCUUCUUUUUGCUAGGUCAGGUAGAAGAAACUAUUAGAUCUCUGGUUGUGGCGGAUCUACCUUUCCCAAAAGGAAAGUUCCGGGUUGGGUUUGAUAGCAGUGACGGUUUGCGGUGGGGUUCGCGAGCUCCAGCCUAAGAAUUGAUGUCAUGUCCUAGUCCCAAACGAGUCGUCCUUGCUAGCUUCAGAUUUAGUUGGUGGUUUAUUUUUUGGAUGCAAAACCUUAAACCCUAUACCCUAAACCCUAAACCCCAAACCCCAAACCCUAAAUCCCAAACCCUAAACCCUAAGGAGAUUUGUCGUUCUAGAGAUGAUGGUUGAUAUCUUUAAUUUUUCAAAUUAUAUGUCGAUUUUUGUGUCCAAAUUUCCUGUACUAUUUCUGAUAAAAAAAAAUUUGGCGGGAACUUUUUUGUCGAUUUUUUUUGGCAGAAAAUAUUUUGCGGGAUAUUUUGUCAAAACAAUUUGGCGGUUGUCAGAAAAUUUUGGCGGGAAAUUUUUUUCCGGGA